rnacentral:rRNA from 1 species
UACGUAGGGUGCGAGCGUUGUCCGGAAUUACUGGGCGUAAAGAGCUCGUAGGUGGUUUGUCGCGUUGUUCGUGAAAACCGGGGGCUUAACCCUCGGCGUGCGGGCGAUACGGGCAGACUUGAGUACUGCAGGGGAGACUGGAAUUCCUGGUGUAGCGGUGGAAUGCGCAGAUAUCAGGAGGAACACCGGUGGCGAAGGCGGCAUCCUGGACCAUUAUUGACGCUGAGGAGCGAAAGCCAGGGGAGCAAACGGG